CGCCUUGCCAGCCGCUCAGAAACUUAAAGGAAUUGACGGGGCCCGCACAAGCGAGGAACAUGUGGUUUAAUUCGAUGAUACGCGAGGAACCUUACCUGGGCUAGAACGCAAUCGGAAUCAGGCCGAAAGGUCUGCGCCAGCGAUGGCCGCUUGCGAGGUGCUGCAUGGUUGUCGUCAGCUCGUGCCGUGAGGUGUCGGGUUAAGUCCCAUAACGAGCGCAACCCCUACUGCUAGUUGCCAGCGGGUCAUGCCGGGGACUCUAGCGGAACUGCCAGCGUAAGCUGCGAGGAAGGUGGGGAUGACGCCAAAUCAGCACGGCCCUUACGUCCAGGGCUACACACGUGUUACAAUGGCCAGUACAGAGGGCAGCCACCCCGCGAGGGGGCGCUAAUCCUAAAAGCUGGUCCCAGUUCGGAUCGGAGUCUGCAACCCGACUCCGUGAAGCUGGAUUCGCUAGUAAUCGCGCAUCAGCCACGGCGCGGUGAAUACGUUCCCGGGCCUU
rnacentral:rRNA from 1 species